rnacentral:rRNA from 1 species
CCUACGGGUGGCAGCAGUGAGGAAUAUUGGUCAAUGGACGGGAGACUGAACCAGCCAAGUAGCGUGAAGGAUGAAUGCACUGCGUGUUGUAAACUUCUUUUAUAAGGGAAUAAAGUGUGGGACGCGUGCCUGUUUGUGUGUACUUUAUGAAUAAGGAUCGGCUAACUCCGUGCCAGCAGCCGCGGUAAUACGGAGGAUCCGAGCGUUAUCCGGAUUUAUUGGGUUUAAAGGGUGCGUAGGUGGGUUGUUAAGUCAGUUGUGAAAGUUUGCGGCUCAACCGUAAAAUUGCAGUUGAUACUGGCAGUCUUGAGUAGAGUAGAGGUAUGCGGAAUGCGUGGUGUAGCGGUGAAAUGCUUAGAUAUCACGAAGAACUCCGAUUGCGAAGGCAGCUCACUGG